rnacentral:lncRNA from 1 species
AACUUGGACUUGGACCUCUCUCAUUUGAGCCCACAAAGCCAUGAAAAUCAGGUUAUAAAAGAGGGAGAUCAGACAGAAAAAGGAAGAGAAGCAAAAUACUCUGAGGUUUCCUUGAAACAAAACCCUUGACAAAACCUAGAGAGAAACCUGACAGAGAACUCAGAGCAACCCCCAGGCAGCUCUGAAAAAUUCAAUCUGAC